AUUGAACGCUGGCGGCAGGCCUAACACAUGCAAGUCGAGCGGAUGAAGGGGGCUUUUUCCUGGCUUCAGCGGCGGACGGGUGAGUAAUUCCCAGGAAUCUGCCUGGUAGUGUGGGAUAACGUCCGUAAACGGGCGCUAAUACCGCAUCCGUCCUGAGGGAGAAAGAGGGGGAUCUUCGGACCUCACGCUAUCUGAUGAGCCUAGGUCGGAUUAGCUAGUUGGUGGGGUAAAGGCCUACCAAGGCGACGAUCCGUAACUGGUCUGAGAGGAUGAUCAGUCACACUGGAACUGAGACACGGUCCAGACUCUUACGGGAGGCAGAAGUGGGGAAUAUUGGACAAUGGGCGAAAGCCUGAUCCAGCCAUGCCGCGUGUGUGAAGAAGGUCUUCGGAUUGUAAAGCACUUUAAGUUGGGAGGAAGGGCAGUAAGUUAAUACCUUGCUGUUUUGACGUUACCAACAGAAUAAGCACCGGCUAACUUCGUG
rnacentral:rRNA from 1 species